rnacentral:lncRNA from 1 species
CCAAGGAUCACUGUAUUUAUUGCUAACCUACUGUUUGUCUGGGACAGCAGGAUAAUGAGCUGCUAAUGAACUUGGUCCAUGAUUUUCACUUAGCACAGGUUUACUUUGAGAUUUUUAUUUUUUUUAUGACCUCAGAAAGUUUUUAGGUAUAUAGUUAAUGAUGUUAUGUCAAUGCACAUACCGUGUAAUUUUAUAUUCCCUCUAACAGAAUAUAAGUAAUACUUCCAAGCUCCCCAUCUCAUUUUCAGACCAGGAGGCCUCUACCUCGUUGUUGUGUUGUUUCUAGCUGUGCAUAUAGAUUGACAGCAGAAAUCAUUUUGACCAUUAAGAAACAGCAUCUGUUUCUGAAGUGCAGCCAAGUCCUGAAAUGAAAGAGCAAACAUUAGCAGUGUAUAAUCAGGUUCCCAGCAGUCCAGGAGAAGAAGCAACAAAUAUCUCAUUUACCUGGACCUGCAGGAGCUCCUGGAAGGAACCUCAAGUGAGUUCUCCUGUGCAAAAAAAUGGGCAUAGGUGUGCCUACAACCACAGCACUUGGGUGUAAUUUUCAUGUUUCAUCCCUAAAUCUUUCCUUUUGGCAAAACAGUACAUUUUGAUGGUUUGCUUAUGAGUUCACUGGUGACAAGGACAGACCAUCACUGGCCAAAUCCUCCCCCUAAAGCUAUGCCUAACUGUUCAGUGAAGCUAGGGUUACUUGUUUAAGUUUUGCUGAAAUCAAGUGGAUAUUUUUCCCAAGAGCCAUUCACCAAGAAGAGCUGUGCUGCGUCCAGAUGUGGAAGGGACUGCCUCAUGCAUGUGCCUACCCAUCCUUUAGCAUCUGUGGACGGAAGGGUGAAGAACCUUAACCUGGCAGCAUGGAAGAGACUGGGAAAUUGGUGCUACUUACAACCAGCCAGACGUGAUGCACGAGGAAAUGUAAAAAAGCAAAGAAAAUGCAAUGGAAAUGCAUGUCAUGGUUCUCUGUUGACACUGCAUGAAGACAACGCAUGAAAAACAUGAGGAGGUGUGAUGGCUGGUUGAGAUAAGCUGGGAGAUCAGGAGGCACCUGAGAACCUCACCCCCACGCUGCAGACAGGUGAUGUUUUGCAGGAGAGAGGUCUGCUUCUUCCUUUCCUCUCCGCUGAGCAAGGUUAGAUUUAGAUCUUAUCUGAAAGCAGACUCUGUAUUGCUUUAAUGACAGGCACAAUCCCUGGG